rnacentral:rRNA from 1 species
AUCAGGUAGGGAUACCCGCUGAACUUAAGCAUAUCAAUAAGCGGAGGAAAAGAAACCAACAGGGAUUGCUCUAGUAACGGCGAGUGAAGCAGCAAUAGCUCAAAUUUGAAAUCUGGCGUCUUCGACGUCCGAGUUGUAAUUUGUAGAGGAUGCUUCUGAGUGGCCACCGACCUAAGUUCCUUGGAACAGGACGUCAUAGAGGGUGAGAAUCCCGUAUGCGGUCGGAAAGGCGCUCUAUACGUAGCUCCUUCGACGAGUCGAGUUGUUUGGGAAUGCAGCUCUAAAUGGGAGGUAAAUUUCUUCUAAAGCUAAAUAUUGGCGAGAGACCGAUAGCGCACAAGUAGAGUGAUCGAAAGAUGAAAAGCACUUUGGAAAGAGAGUUAAAAAGUACGUGAAAUUGUUGAAAGGGAAGCGCUUGCGACCAGACUUG